UACGGGGGGGGCAAGCGUUGUUCGGAAUUACUGGGCGUAAAGGGCGCGUAGGCGGCCUACUAAGUCAGACGUGAAAUCCCCCGGCUUAACCUGGGAACUGCGUCUGAUACUGGAAGGCUUGAGUAUGGGAGAGGGAUGUAGAAUUCCAGGUGUAGCGGUGAAAUGCGUAGAUAUCUGGAGGAAUACCGGUGGCGAAGGCGGCAUCCUGGACCAUUACUGACGCUGAGGCGCGAAAGCUAGGGGAGCAAACGGGG
rnacentral:rRNA from 1 species